UACAGAGGUCCCAAGCGUUGUUCGGAUUCAUUGGGCGUAAAGGGUGCGUAGGCGGCGCGGUAAGUCGGGUGUGAAAUCUCGGAGCUUAACUCCGAAACUGCAUUCGAUACUGCCGUGCUUGAGGACUGGAGAGGAGACUGGAAUUUACGGUGUAGCGGUGAAAUGCGUAGAUAUCGUAAGGAAGACCAGUGGCGAAGGCGGGUCUCUGGACAGUUCCUGACGUGAGGCA
rnacentral:rRNA from 1 species